rnacentral:rRNA from 1 species
AUUGAACGCUGGCGGCAGGCCUAACACAUGCAAGUCGAGCGGAUGAAGGGGGCUUGCUCCUGGAUUCAGCGGCGGACGGGUGAGUAAUGCCUAGGAAUCUGCCUGGUAGUGGGGGAUAACGUCCGGAAACGGGCGCUAAUACCGCAUACGUCCUGAGGGAGAAAGUGGGGGAUCUUCGGACCUCACGCUAUCAGAUGAGCCUAGGUCGGAUUAGCUAGUUGGUGGGGUAAAGGCCUACCAAGGCGACGAUCCGUAACUGGCCUGAGAGGAUGAUCAGUCACACUGGAACUGAGACACGGUCCAGACUCCUACGGGAGGCAGCAGUGGGGAAUAUUGGACAAUGGGCGAAAGCCUGAUCCAGCCAUGCCGCGUGUGUGAAGAAGGUCUUCGGAUUGUAAAGCACUUUAAGUUGGGAGGAAGGGCAGUAAGUUAAUACCUUGCUGUUUUGACGUUACCAACAGAAUAAGCACCGGCUAACUUCGUG